CCCGACUACAUGAAGCUGGAAUCGCUAGUAAUCGCGAAUCAGAAUGUCGCGGUGAAUACGUUCCCGGGUCUUGUACACACCGCCCGUCACACCAUGGGAGUUGACAACGCCCGAAGUCAGUGACCCAACCGAAAGGAAGGAGCUGCCGAAGGCGGGGUUGAUAACUGGGGUGAAGUCGUAACAAGGUAAC
rnacentral:rRNA from 1 species